GAAAAUGAUACAAAUAUGAUGGAAUUUAUUCUGGUAGGACUGUCCAGACAGCCUGCAUCUCAGCUACUCUUCUUUUAGGCAAUAUUGUUCAUCUACUCUGUCACCCUGGUUGGUAAUAUUCUCAUCAUUGUUAUUAUCCAGAUUGAUUCCCAUCUUCAAACCCCCAUGUACUUCUUUCUCAUACAAGUAUCCUUCUUAGAUAUCUGCUCCACACCCACGGUUCUGGUGAACUGCUAGAAGGACUUUCCAAGUGUAUCCUAUAGUGGCUGCUUAUUCUAAAUGACUAUCUUUCUUUACUUAGGGGUGACGAGUGUUUUCUUAUUGCUGUUAUGGCCUAUGACAGGUUUGUUGCCAUCUCAAAACCCUUGUGUUACCCAUUC
rnacentral:lncRNA from 1 species